rnacentral:lncRNA from 1 species
GAUGAUAAAGAGUAAAGGUGGGGCUGGGAUUAUGGCUCAGUGGCAUAUGUGAGGCACAUACCUCGCACAUGUGAGGCACUGGGUCUGAUCCUCAGCACCAAAUAAAAAUAAAUAUAAAAUAAAAAUAGAAGAGUAAAGGUUAUCGCUUGCUACCUUGGAACUUUUCUUCUUUCCUCUCUUCCUCAUUUAAUGAGGAACUGAAUAAUUGGUAAAUAUAUUCUUCUCCCUAGGUGGGGUCAAAAAAGAGGAAGGAAUGAUAAGCAGGAACAAAUCCAUGAAUGCUGAAUAUCAUCUGCAACUUAGUUUUCCUUAAGACUUUUGUGUCUGUAUCUUCCCCCGUGGAAUGUCCCCAGGUGUCCUGGAAGCUGAGUUUGGAGGGCCGGUAAACCAUUUCAGGGCCAUGCAAUAGCUGGAGAAGGAGUGCCACUAUCAGAGGAAGAUAAGCAGUGGAAUACAAGGGUGCCCAGUCAUUUGCAGAAGAUUACUCAGCUGUUACUCAGAGGUACCAGUGAUUCAUUGGUGUCUAAUACUUAAAAAAAUUCACUAUAAAACUAGUCAUGACAACAGAAAGACCUGAUCCCAAAAAAGGUCUCUUAACUCCAGCUUUAAUUGGUCCCUGAUGCUAACAAUGAUGGGCAAUCGCUCUUACAUGGUAACAACUUGACAUUUUCUUUUUCCAAACAUCCCUGGAUGGUUUUGAAAGGACUUCAGUACUCCAUGCAAAAUAAAAGCUUUCUUGGCAGCUAGACAGCAAUCUGAAUUUAUAAUCAAUAAACUGGAAAUAAAGAUGUACCGGGAAUCUGGUCAUAAGUACUAACACAGCUUGUUUUACUUCCAUAUUUGG